rnacentral:rRNA from 1 species
UGAACGCUGGCGGCGUGCUUAACACAUGCAAGUCGAACGAAACACCUUAUUUGAUUUUCUUCGGAACUGAAGAUUUGGUGAUUGAGUGGCGGACGGGUGAGUAACGCGUGGGUAACCUGCCCUGUACAGGGGGAUAACAGUCAGAAAUGACUGCUAAUACCGCAUAAGACCACAGCACCGCAUGGUGCAGGGGUAAAAACUCCGGUGGUACAGGAUGGACCCGCGUCUGAUUAGCUGGUUGGUGAGGUAACGGCUCACCAAGGCGACGAUCAGUAGCCGGCUUGAGAGAGUGAACGGCCACAUUGGGACUGAGACACGGCCCAAACUCCUACGGGAGGCAGCAGUGGGGAAUAUUGCACAAUGGGGGAAACCCUGAUGCAGCGACGCCGCGUGAGUGAAGAAGUAUUUCGGUAUGUAAAGCUCUAUCAGCAGGGAAGAAAAUGACGGUACCUGACUAAGAAGCCCCGGCUAACUACGUG